rnacentral:misc_RNA from 1 species
UGAACUGCUUACCUCACUUUCGAUCCGUUGUUGCUCCACGAGCUAACGUUGGAUGCAAAAAGUGGGCUCCUGUGUUGCAUACCUAUUGCGACGGAAAUUUGUGCCUCUCUUUAUCCCUUCCAUCGGCGCAUCCAAGGAUGCUUCGUUGGACUAGAUAGCAGGGCUCGUGUUCCACGAACACAUCUCGUAUGAUCGUUCGGUCGGACCACGAGUGCCUACUCGUUCUCUCGGAUGCGGAACAUUCUUCCUGGGCAUGGGGUCAUCGGCCCUUGUUCCCAAUCUUCAAGCGUUCAUCGCUUUACUGGAAUGACGCUCCUGCCGUGUCUUUGAUCACGUGGAGCUCUCGGGCUUCACGUGGGUCAUGCUCGGCGGACGUCGUGAAGGAAUGC